rnacentral:lncRNA from 1 species
AUCGCACACAAUGGCAAAUUAUAAAAAAUCUCAAAUUUCUUCAGAAUUUUUAUACGAAGAUGGAGGAUAAGAAUAGAGAUGAUAUAAAGUCGAUUAAAACGAAAAUAGCCUCUCAAAUUUUUUUGUUUAUCAAGGAGGGAGCCAGACGUUCGUCUCACCGAUUUUCUUCAAAGUUUGCACAUACAUACAUAUAUAUACAUAUAUAUAUGCAAAAAGAAAAAUAUCUUUACAUAUUGUUGAAAAAAAAUUGUCAUUGUGAUAGAUAUCAAAAUUAUCUUUGAUAUAUAAGUAUAUAUAGUUUUGGUAGAAAUGUUUCUGAAUUUAAAAAAAAAAUAUAUAUAUAUAGAUUAAAUCUGUAAUAUAUUCAUUUGAUGUGUUUCGGUUAUGGGGAUGUUUUGACUGGUCACAUGCAAUGAUAGAUAUGGGAAAGCAGGGAGAAAAGUCUCUACUGUGUAGAUUCAUAGCAAUUAGAAAUGUUUUUAAAAUCAUGUUUUAUGUAUCAUUUAAUCAUGUAUGAUAAAUGCAUUUAUCACUGAGCACUAUUUAUCAUGUAACACAAAAUAAAAAACAUUUAUUGGUAUCAUGUGUUUAUUGUGCAUUUUAUAUGGUUUUCUAUUAUUUGAUUUCAUAUUUUUUAAAGGGAAAC